rnacentral:rRNA from 1 species
UACGGGGGGAGCAAGCGUUGUUCGGAUUUAUUGGGCGUAAAGAGCUCGUAGGCGGCUCGUUGCGUCGGCUGUGAAAACCCGCAGCUCAACUGUGGGCUUGCAGCUGAUACGGGCGGGCUGGGAUUCGGUAGGGGAGACUGGAAUUCCUGGUGUAGCGGUGAAAUGCGCAGAUAUCAGGAAGAACACCAAUGGCGAAAGCAGCUUUCUGGGACGGUACUGACGCUGAGACGCGAAAGCGUGGGGAGCGAACAGG